rnacentral:rRNA from 1 species
AUUGAACGCUGGCGGCAUGCCUUACACAUGCAAGUCGAACGGCAGCACGGGUGCUUGCCCCUGGUGGCGAGUGGCGAACGGGUGAGUAAUACAUCGGAACAUGUCCUGUAGUGGGGGAUAGCCCGGCGAAAGCCGGAUUAAUACCGCAUACGAUCUACGGAUGAAAGCGGGGGACCUUCGUGCCUCGCGCUAUAGGGUUGGCCGAUAGCUGAUUAGCUAGUUGGUGGGGUAAAGGCCUACCAAGGCGACGAUCAGUAGCUGGUCUGAGAGGACGACCAGCCACACUGGGACUGAGACACGGCCCAGACUCCUACGGGAGGCAGCAGUGGGGAAUUUUGGACAAUGGGCGAAAGCCUGAUCCAGCAAUGCCGCGUGUGUGAAGAAGGCCUUCGGGUUGUAAAGCACUUUUGUCCGGAAAGAAAUCCUUGGCUCUAAUACAGUCGGGGGAUGACGGUACCGGAAGAAUAAGCACCGGCUAACUACGUG